rnacentral:rRNA from 1 species
AAACCAGCACCUCAAGUGGUCAGGAUGAUUAUUGGGCCUAAAGCAUCCGUAGCCUGCUCUGUAAGUUUUCGGUUAAAUCUGUACGCUUAACGUACAGGCUGCCGGAAAUACUGCAGAGCUAGGGAGUGGGAGAGGUAGACGGUACUCUGGAGGAAGUGGUAAAAUGCUUUGAUCUCUAGAUGACCACCUGUGGCGAAGGCGGUCUACCAGAACACGUCCGACGGUGAGGGAUGAAAGCUGGGGGAGCAAACCGGAUUAGAAACCCCAGUAGUCC